rnacentral:rRNA from 1 species
AUUGAACGCUGGCGGCAUGCUUUACACAUGCAAGUCGAACGGCAGCACGGGUGCUUGCACCUGGUGGCGAGUGGCGGACGGGUGAGUAAUGCAUCGGAACGUGUCCUGAAGUGGGGGAUAACGCAUCGAAAGAUGUGCUAAUACCGCAUAUUCUCUGAGGAGGAAAGUAGGGGAUCGAAAGACCUUAUGCUUUUGGAGCGGCCGAUGUCUGAUUAGCUAGUUGGUAGGGUAAUGGCUUACCAAGGCGACGAUCAGUAGUUGGUCUGAGAGGAUGGCCAGCCACAUCGGGACUGAGACACGGCCCGGACUCCUACGGGAGGCAGCAGUCGGGAAUAUUGGACAAUGGGCGCAAGCCUGAUCCAGCAAUACCGCGUGUGUGAAGAAGGCCUGCGGGUUGUAAAGCACUUUCAGUUGGGAAGAUAAUGACGUUACCAACAGAAGAAGCACCGGCUAACUCCGUGCCAGCAGCCGCGGUAA